UUCGAAAGAAUGAGAACGAGUAAUUUCUGGAACAAAAACAUAAACAAAGCGCUAUUUUUUGCUUAUACUGAGAAAGUGCUGUUACUCUGCUGCCGGACACUGUUAAAAAAUUCAACUCUGUUGAACCUACGGCAAAGUUUUUAACAGCGCAGACAAAACUGGAUCAAAUGCUGAAGUUGUACUAUAAAUUUGUAAAACAAAGAAAAUACGCGAACCGCUGAAUAAAGUUUUGGAGAUCACAAAUAAAGAUAGUGUAUGGCUCUGCAGUAAGAGCAAAAGGUUGUACCAUCUUCAGAUUUGAAAGAAAAAGACAGGUCGGGUAUACAACUAGGAAAGCUUCUACUUCGACAGUAGCGGCAACAACAAAAACUUCAACUUCCGAAUCCAAGUAUGAGGCAAAAUAUCAAGAGUCUGAAGAUUUAGAAGAACAGUCCACAAGUACCAGCAAGAAUUAUACUAAAACCAAAGCUGCAACCUAAGUAAUCAACUAUAAAGAAACUGUUAAACUUAAAGAGGAGAUGAAGAAAACACAAAAUUUAGAAAGGUGAUCCCUGCACUUUAAUGGUAAACGUAUUAGUCACCAAGAAUAUCAAGUGUAAGACCAUUGGAUUACUGACCAAAUGUAAACAAAUAUAUAUGUAUAGAAAUAUAUGUAUAAACAUG